rfam:Regiella insecticola BAC CTGI_APP_BA-03-B02 () complete sequence.
UGGGGUUGCUGAAUUAGAGAUUGGCGCCCAUCUUAUUUUAAUUAUUCGGAGUAUUAUAAUGUCUCUAAGUGUUGAAGUGAAAGCUAAAAUUAUUGCUGAUUUCGGUCGUAAUGCU